UGGGGAAUAUUGCGCAAUGGCCGAAAGGCUGACGCAGCGACGCCGCGUGGGGGAUGAAGCAUUUCGGUGUGUAAACCCCUGUUGCCCGGGACGAACAAGCAGAUUUUUCUGCUCUGACGGUACCGGGUGAGGAAGCACCGGCUAACUCCGUGCCAGCAGCCGCGGUAAUACGGAGGGUGCGAGCGUUGUCCGGAAUCACUGGGCGUAAAGGGCGCGUAGGCGGUCUGCUAAGCGUGCGGUGAAAGCCCGGGGCUCAACCCCGGGUCUGCCGUGCGAACUGGUGGACUAGAGCACUGUAGAGNCAGGUGGAAUUCCCGGUGUAGCGGUGGAAUGCGUAGAGAUCCGGAAGAACACCGGUGGCGAAGGCGGCCUGCUGGGCAGUAGCUGACGCUGAGGCGCGACAGCGUGGGGAGCAGACA
rnacentral:rRNA from 1 species